rnacentral:rRNA from 1 species
GAUACGCCCGCAAGGGCGAUAUAGUGGCAAAAGGGCGAGUAACGCGUGGGUAACCUACCUCCAAAACCGGGAUAACUUUGCGAAAGCGAGGCUAAUACCGGAUAAGACCACGGUUCAUAAGGACUGUGGUAAAAGGAAGCCUCUAUUUAUAAGCUACCAUUUGGAGAGGGGCCUGCGUCCUAUCAGCUAGUUGGUGAGGUAACGGCCCACCAAGGCUAUUGACGGGUAGCUGGUCUAAGAGGAUGGUCAGCCGCACUGGGACUGAGACACUGCCCAGACUCCUACGGGAGGCUGCAGUCGAGAAUCUUUAGCAAUGCCCGAAAGGGUGACUAUGCGACGCCGCGUGAGCGAUGAAGGUCUUCGGAUUGUAAAGCUCUGUCGAGUGGGAUGAAUACCACAUCCAUAACAUGGGUGUGGAAUGACAGUACCACUAGAGGAAGCCACGGCUAACUCCGUGCCAGCAGCCGCGGUAAUACGGAGGUGGCAAGCGUUGUUCGGAUUUAUUGGGUGUAAAGGGCAGGUAGGUGUCCUAGUAAGUUCUGGUUGAAAUCCUUCAGCUCAACUGGAGAACUGGUCAGAAAACUGCUAGGAUUGAGUGCGGAAGAGGAGAACGGAAUUCCCGGUGUAAGGGUGAAAUCUGUAGAUAUCGGGAAGAACACCAGUGGCGAAGGCGGUUCUCUAGUACGCUACUGACACUGAACUGCGAAAGCUAGGGGAGCAAACAGGAUUAGAUACCCUGGUAGUCCUAGCCGUAAACGAUGGGCACUAGGUGCGGGCUCGCAAGGGUCCGUGCCGCAGUUAACACAUUAAGUGCCCCACCUGGGGACUACGGCCGCAAGGUUGAAACUCAAAGAAAUUGACGGGGAC